AUGCGAAACAGAAAGGUCUUUGUUUUGGAUGUUUACAUGCGGGUCAUUUAUCAAGGAAGUGUCGUCAGAGAAAAAGAUGCAGAACUUGUUCCAAGUUCCACCCGUCAUCCCUACAUGGGGACGUAUAUCAACGAGGACAGCACCAGACGGUGGAGGAUAUUAAGUUUAUGCACUACUCGACACACAGUCGGCUACCACCUUUAUUCUGGACAAGACUUCAAAGGCCCUUGGACUGAAGGAAAACCUGUGAAGCUCGUGCUCUCUACCAUGUAUGCAGAGAAUAAAGCUGUAGAUAGUUGUAAGAUUGGAGGACUUCUUGUGCAUGGUUUCAACAGUGAACAUAGGAUACCAUUACCGGAAAGGUACACAAGAGAGAUCAUGCCUGCCAACAGAUCUCAUAUUCCGACACCAGAAAUUGCAAGAAGAUGGCCUCACUUGGAGGUUAUUGCAGAUGAACUUCUACCUCUUACUGAUUGCGAGGUUGGAUUACUUAUUGGCUACAACUGCGUGAAGGCUUUGACGCCUAGAGAUGUUAUCGUUCCAUCCGUGGACGGACCUUAUGGUCAACGCACUGACUUGGGGUGUAAUGGGCAUAGUAGAUAA
rnacentral:sRNA from 1 species